UGCGCAUCCGUGGCGCUAAGCAUUCUGGUUGAAGCAGUCAGUGGUGCUGAGUAGAGUGCAAACAAACAAACAAACAAACGUAGGAAAUGGACCGAGUAUGAUUGAAAAGGACAUAUAUUCUUCCGGCUUCUGAUCAAACGGAUAUUCCAAAAAGAACAAGACGAUCAUGGAAAAAAAGAACCUGCAUUAAAAUUCCUCUCACUCCGACUUUGACAAUGGCUCUGAAGAUGCACAUGAUGUCAGGCACAUUACAGUAACUAAUGAUGAUUCUGAACCAUGGAGUACUCUCAGUGGACAACAAAGAGUAUUAGGAAGAGCUGAAGUGUCCCUGUGCAACCAGAUCAUUGUCUCGGCUGUGGAGAACCCAAUGAAGGGGUUCCAAAUGCCGUUGCUGGGGGUGGCUGACCAGGACGAGGAGGCGGUGGUUGGUCCGGGCUAUGUUGAUUGAUCUCUGGUGUUUUCAGAGAUCAAAAGAGGGAUUCAAGAAUUUAUAAUACAUUACAGUACAAUUCUAGUGCUAUAAUCAUUAGCUGUAUCACGGGCAAGGCACUAUCUAUAAUUCCAGUUAUUAAUAUUUGUGGCAA